GCCGAAGUGGCGGAAUUGGCAGACGCGCUAGGUUCAGGACCUAGUGGCCUUAACGGCCUUGGGGGUUCGAGUCCCCCCUUCGGCACCA
rnacentral:tRNA from 1 species